rnacentral:rRNA from 1 species
GACGAACCGUGCGAACGUUAUUCGGAAUCACUGGGCUUAAAGCGCGUGUAGGCGGGAGGGCACGUCCGACGUUGAAAGCCCCCGGCUCAACCGGGGAACGGGCGCGGAUACGACCUUCCUGGAGGGACGUAGGGGGACCUGGAACUUCCGGUGGAGCGGUGAAAUGCGUUGAGAUCGGAAGGAACGCCCGUGGCGAAAGCGCGUGACUGGGCCACAACUGACGCUGAGGAACGAAAGCCAGGGGAGCGAAAGGG